rnacentral:rRNA from 1 species
UACGUAGGGUCCAAGCGUUAUCCGGAAUCACUGGGCGUAAAGCGUGCGUAGGUGGAUGCUUAAGUGAGAUGUUAAAUCGUGUGGCUCAACCAUAUCGAUGCAUCUCAUACUGGGCGUCUAGAGGACGGCAGAGGCAAGUGGAACUCGUAGUGUAGCAGUGAAAUGCGUAGAUAUUACGAAGAACACCAAUGGCGAAGGCAGCUUGCUGGGCCACUCCUGACACUGAGGUACGAAAGCGUGGGGAGCGAACAGG